rnacentral:rRNA from 1 species
UACAGAGGUCCCAAGCGUUGUUCGGAUUCACUGGGCGUAAAGAGCUCGUAGGCGGUUUGUCGCGUCUGCUGUGAAAAACCCGAGGCUCAACCUCGGGCCUGCAGUGGGUACGGGCAGACUAGAGUGCGGUAGGGGAGAUUGGAAUUCCUGGUGUAGCGGUGAAAUGCGCAGAUAUCAGGAAGAACACCGAUGGCGAAGGCAGCUCUCUGGGACGGUACUGACGCUGAGAGCGAAAACGU